rnacentral:rRNA from 1 species
GACGAACGCUGGCGGCGUGCCUAAUACAUGCAAGUUGAGCGAUGAAGAUUGGUGCUUGCACCAAUUUGAAGAGCAGCGAACGGGUGAGUAACGCGUGGGGAAUCUGCCUUUGAGCGGGGGACAACAUUUGGAAACGAAUGCUAAUACCGCAUAACAACUUUAAACAUAAGUUUUAAGUUUGAAAGAUGCAAUCGCAUCACUCAAAGAUGAUCCCGCGUUGUAUUAGCUAGUUGGUGAGGUAAAGGCUCACCAAGGCGAUGAUACAUAGCCGACCUGAGAGGGUGAUCGGCCACAUUGGGACUGAGACACGGCCCAAACUCCUACGGGAGGCAGCAGAAGGGAAUCUUCGGCAAUGGACGAAAGUCUGACCGAGCAACGCCGCGUGAGUGAAGAAGGUUUUCGGAUCGUAAAACUCUGUUGGUAGAGAAGAACGUUGGUGAGAGUGGAAAGCUCAUCAAGUGACGGUAACUACCCAGAAAGGGACGGCUAACUACGU